rnacentral:rRNA from 1 species
UACGUAGGGGGCUAGCGUUGUCCGGAUUUAUUGGGCGUAAAGAGCGUGUAGGCGGCCAGGUAGGUCUGGUGUGAAAACUCGAGGCUUAACCUCGAGAUGUCAUCGGAAACCAUCUGGCUAGAGUCCGGAAGAGGAGAGUGGAAUUCCUGGUGUAGCGGUGGAAUGCGCAGAUAUCAGGAGGAACACCAAUAGCGAAGGCAGCUCGCUGGGACGUUACUGACACUGAGGCGCGAAAGCGUGGGGAGCGAACAGG